rnacentral:rRNA from 1 species
GAUGAACGCUGGCGGCAUGCCUAAGACAUGCAAGUCGAACGAAGGGACCCAACGAUUAUGGAGUACUUGUACAAAGUAAGAGAUGGAAUUUUCCCUUAGUGGCGAACGGGUGAGUAACGGGUAGGCAACCUACCCUCAAGACGGGGAUACCAGUUGGAAACGACUGUUAAUACCGGAUAGGAUACAAUAUCGCAUGAGAAAGUAUUUAAAGGAGCGUAUGCUCCACUUGAGGAUGGGCCUGCUUUGUAUUAGCUAGUUGGUAAGGUAACGGCUUACCAAGGCGACGAUGCAUAGCCGAGCUGAGAGGCUGAUCGGCCACACUGGAACUGAGACACGGUCCAGACUCCUACGGGAGGCAGCAGUUAGGGAUAUUGGGCAAUGGAGGAAACUCUGACCCAGCAAUGCCGCGUGAGUGAAGAAGUAUUUCGGUAUGUAAAACUCUGUUGUAUGAGAAGAAAGAACUAGUAGGAAAUGGCUAGUAGAUGACGGUAUCAUACGAGGAAGUCACGGCUAACUACGUGCCAGCCGCCGCCGUAACAC